CGCGGCAAGACGGAAAGACCCCGUGAACCUUUACUAUAGCUUGACACUGAACAUUGAGCCUUGAUGUGUAGGAUAGGUGGGAGGCUUUGAAGUGUGGACGCCAGUCUGCAUGGAGCCGACCUUGAAAUACCACCCUUUAAUGUUUGAUGUUCUAACGUGGACCCGUAAUCCGGGUUGCGGACAGUGUCUGGUGGGUAGUUUGACUGGGGCGGUCUCCUCCUAAAGAGUAACGGAGGAGCACGAAGGUUGGCUAAUCCUGGUCGGACAUCAGGAGGUUAGUGCAAUGGCAUAAGCCAGCUUGACUGCGAGCGUGACGGCGCGAGCAGGUGCGAAAGCAGGUCAUAGUGAUCCGGUGGUUCUGAAUGGAAGGGCCAUCGCUCAACGGAUAAAAGGUACUCCGGGGAUAACAGGCUGAUACCGCCCAAGAGUUCAUAUCGACGGCGGUGUUUGGCACCUCGAUGUCGGCUCAUCACAUCCUGGGGCUGAAGUAGGUCCCAAGGGUAUGGCUGUUCGCCAUUUAAAGUGGUACGCGAGCUGGGUUUAGAACGUCGUGAGACAGUUCGGUCCCUAUCUGCCGUGGGCGCUGGAGAACUGAGGGGGGCUGCUCCUAGUACGAGAGGACCGGAGUGGACGCAUCACUGGUGUUCGGGUUGUCAUGCCAAUGGCACUGCCCGGUAGCUAAAUGCGGAAGAGAUAAGUGCUGAAAGCAUCUAAGCACGAAACUUGCCCCGA
rnacentral:rRNA from 2 species